rnacentral:rRNA from 1 species
AUACCUAUCGUUGCCUCGGCGGUGCCCGCUCCGGCGGCCCGCCAGAGGACCCCCAAACUCUUGUUUUAUACAGUAUCUUCUGAGUAACACGAUUAAAUAAAUCAAAACUUUCAACAACGGAUCUCUUGGUUCUGGCAUCGAUGAAGAACGCAGCGAAAUGCGAUAAGUAAUGUGAAUUGCAGAAUUCAGUGAAUCAUCGAAUCUUUGAACGCACAUUGCGCCCGCCAGUAUUCUGGCGGGCAUGCCUGUUCGAGCGUCAUUUCAACCCUCAAGCCCCCGGGCUUGGUGUUGGGGAUCGGCGUGCCCUCGCGGCGCGCCGUCCCCUAAAUCUAGUGGCGGUCUCGCUGUAGCUUCCUCUGCGUAGUAGCAACACUCGCACUGGAUCGCAGCGCGGCCACGCCGUUAAACCCCCCACUUCUGAAAGUUUGACCUCGGAUCAGGUAGGAAUACCCGCUGAACUUAAGCAUAUCAAUAAGACGGA